rnacentral:misc_RNA from 1 species
GGAAACUUUAGAAAACAAAAACAAUAACAAGAAAAUAAAAAAACAACAAAAAGUUUGAUUUUCACAGCAAGGAGGGCCUGAGAGACAGAUACAGAGAGGCUUAUUCUCUUCUUCAAAACAUAUUUUCCUCUUGUUGCUGGGUCAUUAGUGUAAAUCGAUUUUAGUUGCACCCAAGAAGGGAAAUAGGAAGGGAAAGGGAAGUUCAUUUUAUUUUUAUUUUUUUAUUUUAUGGGUUCUGGGAUUUGAGUGGUU